UGAAGUCAUAUUUUUUUCUGGGAAAUGU
rnacentral:piRNA from 1 species